GGCGAGCGGCGGACGGGUGAGUAAUGCCUAGGAAUCUGCCUGGUAGUGGGGGAUAACGCUCGGAAACGGACGCUAAUACCGCAUACGUCCUACGGGAGAAAGCAGGGGACCUUCGGGCCUUGCGCUAUCAGAUGAGCCUAGGUCGGAUUAGCUAGUUGGUGAGGUAAUGGCUCACCAAGGCGACGAUCCGUAACUGGUCUGAGAGGAUGAUCAGUCACACUGGAACUGAGACACGGUCCAGACUCCUACGGGAGGCAGCAGUGGGGAAUAUUGGACAAUGGGCGAAAGCCUGAUCCAGCCAUGCCGCGUGUGUGAAGAAGGUCUUCGGAUUGUAAAGCACUUUAAGUUGGGAGGAAGGGCAGUUACCUAAUACGUAUUUGUUUUGACGUUACCGACAGAAUAAGCACCGGCUAACUCUGUGCCAGCAGCCGCGGUAAUACAGAGGGUGCAAGCGUUAAUCGGAAUUACUGGGCGUAAAGCGCGCGUAGGUGGUUCGUUAAGUUGGAUGUGAAAUCCCCGGGCUCAACCUGGGAACUGCAUUCAAAACUGACGAGCUAGAGUAUGGUAGAGGGUGGUGGAAUUUCCUGUGUAGCGGUGAAAUGCGUAGAUAUAGGAAGGAACACCAGUGGCGAAGGCGACCACCUGGACUGAUACUGACACU
rnacentral:rRNA from 1 species